ensembl:lincRNA
ACGGCUUUCGAUAGACACCUAAAACCUUCGCCGAGGGGGAGGUGACCUGAGGUGACGUCACUGCAGGCGCCUCCCGGCGCUGAAGGACCCCGCACGCUGACGGGCCGGUGCGCAAGUUUUAACUGGAGCGGCGCGCUCCGUCAGAGUGCAACCGGGCCCAGGCGGAGACUCGAGGACUACGUCUUCCGGCGGCCCCCGCGCGCCGGGCGGACCCCGAGCAGUUCUUCCUGCCGCCGCGGGCGCGCCUGAGGGGGCGGUUCGCCUCGUUAGACGUUGUCGUCGUCACCGCUGACCAGUCCUUCUUCCCAGACGUCUCUCUUCUCACAGCUCCCCCGCCUUCCGUGUCCACUUGCCGUCCGGCCCCGCGCUCCUCGGCCUCUUCCCCACCCCCACCCCCACUCCGGAAGCCCUGCCAAGCGCAGCGCUUGGCCGAAUCCUGGGCAGUGGCCGGCUGCUAACAAAUGUUAUUAAAAUAUCUUGCAAAGGGAAAAAAAGAGAAAAUCUUCACUUUACAGCAAUUCCCGGAUACACCCAAGUCCUCAUCCUCUUGUUUGAAUCGAAGUUUUCCCCGAUAUCCGCUGCCACCAGAAUCUUUUGAUGAUCCCAGCUUGUUGCCAUGGGUUACCUUGCUCGGAAGCCUCAGACGUCGCUUCUCGACGUCUGGUUAGGAAGUCCGAAUUCUUAGCGUCCCAUACAAGAACUGCAUGCAUUAAGGAGACGUCCCAGGCCCUAUCAGCUCCUUCCUAAAUCUUCGGAUGGAAAUUGCAACUGAAAACAGCACCCACCCCCACCCACCCCCACCCCCCACCCCCCGCCACUUCCAAGAAAGCAGUCUGUGUUCCUCUCCAAAUGCCGGCAUCCCUGUCCUUGCUUGUACACGCUCUGCGGUUGAAGCUGGCUGUGAAGUGGAGGAACCAGGUGUCCAGCAGUCGCUUAGAUCACCUGCCCUUGGCACUGAAGACACGUCUGUACUCGUCCGAGGGGCUAAUGUGGGAUGUGCAGAAGACAGGAGUAGGGUUAAAGUGAAAGGAGAAGCGAGAAAGGGGAGAGGAGCCCCUGUGGUCCUGAUGACUUUACAUGUUCCAUGUCUGCCUUCCAACCUCGGACAAACAGGAACUGGGAACUCACUGCUGCCUUCCUGUCCCCUGCACCUGCCUGGACCGCGCUUCCUGCCAGCGUGGCAUUCUGUAACCCUCCUGUCCUGCCAGGCCGCUCGUUCUACCUCCACGACCGCAGUGUCAUCAGGGUCUUUUCCAGUGCGUCAGCUCUCGACAUCAGGUGGCCAAAGGACUGGCGUUUCAGCACAGUGGUUUUUCUAAAAUAUCUCUUCAUUGCUACAGGAACCCGGAAGAGAUCGUGGGACAUCGUAUGUCCUUAUGAUUUAAUUGAUUCAGUCAUAAAGUGUGGCUUCCAGAACAGCACUGGGUCAAAGGGAGAUGACAUUGGAGAGCUUGAGCAUUAGCAGGGCUUGAAGGUCAAUUAAAAUUGCAAAAACAUUAAACCUAAUUAAUAGAGGGCCAGGCAUAGUAUGCCAGGAACAGCCUAGGAUAGAUCUUUGCAGAAUGACAUCUCUCACGUUUGUUCCUGUUGAUGUGCAGUCAAGGGCGUUUCUCCCUGGGGUGGAGAUCAAGCAGUUCCUGUAACGUCUCAUUUUUAUUGGAAGGAGCUAUGGCCGCAGGUGUAGACCUUAACUGAUCCACGGAAGUCGAGGGAGUUUGGCUGCUCGGGGACUUGGAAGGAAUAAGAUUGGAGGCCUGGUCACAAGGGGUCUGGCGCAUAGGCAUAGCUACAGAAUCUGCUUCCUACAAAAGUUUUGCUCCCCGAAGUCUUCAGUAACCAGGUAGCUCAGAUGACCUGUCUGUGUGGAUCAGUUACCCUCUCCCCACACCACCUUGGUUUUCCAGCAGCACGCUGGCCGUGGUAUCUUGGAUGAAGAUGAAUAACAGCCCAGGCUUUCCUUCACAAAGCUGAUCUGUCAGCCUGCCACGGGCUUCCCCGGCCAAGAGCUGACAGGGCUGAGUGUCAGAGACAGUGUCAUUCCUUGGGGAGUGGGAAAUGGAAUGUUGCCCGCUGUAUCAGAAAACAAAGGAUGAGAGAGCCAUCAGCGAUUGCAGCCACCACCACCCGCCCUCCCCCCCGGGCAGCCCUGAGGGAACUCAGGAUGGAAGCUCAGGAGGAAUGCCAGCCAGUCGUCAUCACACUGAAUCCACCACCGACCCCCACCCACUGGGCGGCCCGCGGAGGCUCAGGAUGAGAAAGCAGGGGUCUUGGGCCCAGACAGCUGAGGUGCAGAUCAAAGGACUGGCUUCAGUGAGCCCAGCCUCUUGCAUCUUCCCAUACGUGGGAAAGCACUGAAUUCCUUAACCUGAGAUGUCUGGCUUCCUUUAAUCAACAAGAAGCUUUUGAUGUUCAGACUGCCUGCCCCUUGUCGUAAAACUUCUAUAUAACCUGGAAACCACCUUCAGGCGGGAGAAGUGAACAGUUAACCCUGGUACGCUGCCCACAAGCACACAGACCCCAGACCAAUUGGAACCUGAAGGUCGAUUAUGCUGACUCAUACUCACCUCACCAUCAGCCAACCAGAAGAAUGCUCACAAGCUGAUCAUGUCCUCUUUGAAGCAUUUCUAUAAAACCCCACACUCACUCACUGGUGGGGACACGCCAUUUUCAGGACUUUAGUCCCCUCUGAACCCCUUUGCCUGGUAAAGCAAUAAAGCUGUAUUUUCUGUUUCACCCAAAUCUCUGUCUCCAAGAUUUACUUCCGUGUUGGGGUGCAGAGGCGAGAUUUGACUUCAACAUCCCUGUGGGGUUAUGUGGUCUUCCCUUCCUACCCAAACAUUGACAUGCAGCUGGGUGUUCAAAAUGCUGGGAUAGUC